rnacentral:rRNA from 1 species
UAAGGAAUAUUGGUCAAUGGACGCAAGUCUGAACCAGCCAUGCCGCGUGAAGGAUGAAGGUCCUCUGGAUUGUAAACUUCUUUUAUCUGGGACGAAAACGGGAUUUUUAUCUCAAGUGACGGUACCAGAGGAAUAAGCACCGGCUAACUCCGUGCCAGCAGCCGCGGUAAUACGGAGGGUGCGAGCGUUAUCCGGAUUUACUGGGUUUAAAGGGUGCGUAGGUGGGCUUAUAAGUCAGUGGUGAAAUCUCCGAGCUUAACUUGGAAACUGCCGUUGAUACUAUAGGUCUUGAAUUAUCUGGAGGUAAGCGGAAUAUGGCAUGUAGCGGUGAAAUGCUUAGAUAUGACAUAGAACACCAAUUGCGAAGGCAGCUUACUACAUAUAAAUUGACGCUGAGGCACGAAAGCGUGGGGAUCAAAC